rnacentral:rRNA from 1 species
AAGGGGAGCAAUCCUCUGAGUAAAGCGGCGCACGGGUGAGUAACACGUGGGUAAUCUACCCUGAAGUGGGGAAUAACACCGGGAAACCGGUGCUAAUACCGCAUACGAUCACGGUGUCUGCGGACACAGGGAUGAAAGGAGCAAUUCGCUUCAGGAGGAGCCCGCGGCUGAUUAGCUAGUUGGUGAGGUAAUGGCUCACCAAGGCUACGAUCAGUAUCCGGUCUGAGAGGACGGUCGGACACACUGGAACUGAAACACGGUCCAGACUCCUACGGGAGGCAGCAGUGGGGAAUUUUGCGCAAUGGGGGAAACCCUGACGCAGCAACGCCGCGUGGAGGAUGAAGUCCCUUGGG